rnacentral:lncRNA from 1 species
CUUGUCUUGAGUUUAUUAAACUUGUAAGUUGCUUUGUCCUUAAUUGUAGAUACACAAGUGUUCCUUUGUCACAGGCACAUUCACAGCCACAUAUGUUGUCAAAAUCACUACCACACACCUGAUCUUUUACAUAGAUCACAAUCUUAAUCCCCAUGUCCAUCAUGUUGUAUAUUAUUAUGACCUUUUGAUGUGAUCACCUUUGACUACUGUGACAGCACUGUCACUAGAACUAAUAGACAGAAUUAUUGAUGUACUUGAUAAAUUUUGGAGAUAUGAAAGCAACCAAUUUAAAAUUUUGAAAUGAAAUGAAUAUACUACUUUAAUAUUAGUAAUGGAUCAAUAUAAUUUUUAAAUUUCUUUAAUAUUUAUUCUCUAAUUGCAAAACACUACUCGUUUAUUAUGCUCAUGGAAUCAUUACUGAAGUUGAUAUUUCUUUGUGGAUAUCUUGCAUUUGAUUCUGGAAGUGGAGAUGAAGAGGUAAACAAUAUUUAUUAUAAUCAAUUAUCAAACAACAUAUUUUGUAAUUUAAUUUGAUGAGACAAUUUGAGAAGUACUGUCAGGCGACUCUCAAGCCUAGAAGUCCAAACCGAAGAUUAGUAUUUGCUUAAGGAUCAAUGCUAUUGCAUGUAUACUAUGGAACUCGCGAGGAGAUUACAUGUUAGAUCUUCAUUGUCUACCACACUACUUCAAAAUUACUCAUGUAGAUAAAUAUAAUGUGUGUGCAUUAGAUCAGUCUAGACCAAAUUAUUUUGAAGCAGUGCUAAACAUUAAAGUUGUGUUGUGGACUCGAGUACCACUGAUUACACGUUGUAUCUGGUUGCACUGAUUUAGUGAAAACUGUUUUAGAGCAUCUCCAAGGGUGAUCCCUAUUUUAAAUCCCUAAAAUAUAGUAAAAUAAUGGUUACCUAAAAUAUAGGUGAUGGGGGGGCGAGGGUGGGUCCUAGGUGGGUGAUGACAUAUAGGGGGUGGGUGAUGACUUAUAGGGGGUGGGUGAUGUCGUUUAGGUAUAGUUUCUCUUAGUUUGUAUUUUAGUUUUUAUUUUAGUGGUUUGUAUUUGAAAAUUUGCUUAUAUAUAUAUAUCGAGAGGGAGUGGGGGGCAGACACAAGUCACACUACAGUCUGUGCUAUUCUAUUUUUUUGAUGGAGUUUCUUGUUCCUUUUCUUGCAGGUUUUAACAGAAUACAUUCUUGUUUCCGUAACUAGUGCAGUUACAGUGACUAUAGCAGGAGUUGUCAAGGAAGUAGUCACUAUAUUGGUAUGAAUUGUACUAGUUGGUUCAGCAUUUUUAAGAACUCAUGAAUAAAUGCUGUUGGGAAAUUAUUUUUAGCACAUAAAUAUUAAGAAACGUAUCCAUGAUGCAAAUAGCAUUGAAGACCUGCAUCAGGAAUUAAAAUACCAACGGCUGCAAAUAAUUUUAAUCUUAUUUAACUUUUUAUAUAAUGUCAGAGUAGAAGUUAAAACAUUUUAACAUGCUAAAAAGUAAAUUGCAUAAAGAAAUUGGGAGCUUUAUUUGUGCUGUCUUUUAAAAUUGUAAAUUGGGUCUGGAUGGUACUUCAACCUUCAAUUGCCUUCUCAAGAAGUGUUUUUGUCAGUUCAAUUUAAAGUUACAUGUUCCUUGGCUAGGUUAGAACAAUGCUUCUAUUCUGAUCUAGAUAGGAAAAAAUGUAAAAAUAUAUCCCCAUUCUGAAGUAACAUACCUACUGAGCUUCUGGAAAUUGUUGCAUUACUUUCCUUGUCAUUCAAAAUAUAUAUUAUAAAAAAAAUAUAUUAUUAUGCCGAUGGGUGAUUAGUGCAAGGCAUCUAUUCUGUAAAGCAUUUAUAUUCUUUAUCAUGAAAGAUUCUUUCCAUCAGCAACAUUCCACUAAUUACUUAAUAUCGAUUCUGACCAAAUUUUGAAUUGCUCAUCAGGUUGCUGUAAUAUACUUCCACGAUGAGUUUACAUGGAUGAAAGGGUGUGGUCUCAUCAUCAUUAUAAUUGGUGUCAGUUUAUUUAAUUGGUACAAGUAAGUUAUCAGACAUUCUAUAUUAUUCAGAAAGUUUGUACUUUAUGUGCCUCUUAAAUUUAGGCCUUAUUUUUAAUGUGUUCAAAUAUAUGGAAUUCUCAGUUUUCAUUUAGUAAAACAUGUUUAGCUUUUCUGGUAAAACCAUGUUUUGUGUGUUAAGAUACGUGCUUGACAAGAUUAAGAAACAAAAUGCUGUUGGUUGAUGUAUUAUUAAGCAUUAAGCGUUAUUGUGGAGAAAACAGAACAAAAAUAAAAACCUCUUUCUGCUUCCUACAAAGUCUCAACUUGCUGUUAUGAUACCUCAAAUUACUCUUACUCCUUAUUAGGCUCCCUGCUGAUACCAACUACUUACGAAGCCUUGAUAAAGUUUGGAGUGAACACAGCUUUUAUCUCAUUGCGAGCAAUAUAUAGUGUGGCAUACUAGUUACGCUCAAAAGAAUCUAUUUGUCUAAUCGUGGCUAAGCCUGUUGUGAACUUCCUCUCAGGGAUCUGUGAUAGACAAUCAAAGCUAAAAUCAGUGUAGUAUAUUAAAUCUUUAUAUAGAAUUAAAUCUUUAUAUAUAAUUUUAAUUGAUAUACAAUCAUAUAACUUGCAUGAGCAACAACUUCUAUACACCUGCCAUAAUUUUGUGCUAUUUGUUAAGUUUGAACGAUAAUUUAGUCCUGUUCCUGUUGGACUUGAAAAUCUGUCACCCAGUUCUUAUAGAUAGAGUAGCAAUGGACCUGUAAUGUCAUGUGACAUGGUUCUGAAGCAAAAGUCUAAGAUGUUGAAGUAAUGUAUAGACCAGCACCUCCAAUUUUAUUCAAAACUUGCAACUAGAGUGAUUCAUUUUUUUUGACUGAAACCAUCAUACCCGUUUAAAAUCAAUUGAUCCUACUCCAUUCUUAUGGAACAUGGAGCCUAGUUCAUCUGAGUGUGAUGCUGAAUCAAGUUGUUGUAUUCCAUGUUGUUUCAGCUAGUCUACUGACUACUAUUAUUUCAUUCUAGUAGGUGUUGAUUUUAUUAUAAACUAGUGGUGCAUCUUUGAAACUUUUAAGUUGCAAGCAAUAAAUAAUGUGUUUCUGUGCUUUUCUGAUUAUGCAGAUACCAAAAGCUACAAAAGGGAGAAUCAAGUGAGGAUGACAUGUCAGGGUCUUUGAGGACUAAUGUACCUGCAAAAUAUGUUAUUCUUGAGGAGAAUGAUGAUCAAGAUGCUGGGAUUUGAAUACUUGAAUUGCUUGUCUUGAGUUUAUUAAACUUGUAAGUUGCUUUGUCCUUAAUUGUAGAUACACAAGUGUUCCUUUGUCACAGGCACAUUCACAGCCACAUAUGUUGUCAAAAUCACUACCACACACCUGAUCUUUUACAUAGAUCACAAUCUUAAUCCCCAUGUCCAUCAUGUUGUAUAUUAUUAUGACCUUUUGAUGUGAUCACCUUUGACUACUGUGACAGCACUGUCACUAGAACUAAUAGACAGAAUUAUUGAUGUACUUGAUAAAUUUUGGAGAUAUGAAAGCAACCAAUUUAAAAUUUUGAAAUGAAAUGAAUAUACUACUUUAAUAUUAGUAAUGGAUCAAUAUAAUUUUU